rnacentral:lncRNA from 1 species
AGAAAUAUCCUUGCCUAAUGGCUAAGCGAGAGCCGGAGUGAUUGCCGCAGAUGCCAUCAUGAAUCUCCCAAAGGACAUAAUUACCUUCCUCUGGAGUCAGGCACCGGUGGUAGGGGAGGCUAAAGCCACAAUUGUUUAGAGAGCCAUUGAUGAUCAAGUAUCAAGCGGAGCGAUAGCGAACACGCCGCGCUUCAGCAGGAUCAGCAGAUAGUGUCUGGUUCUGC